GGCGGACGGGUGAAGUAACGCGUGAGAAUCUGGCCUUCAGGACGGAGACAACAGUUGGAAACGACUGCUAAGCCCCGAUGAACCGAAAGGGAAAAUAUUUAUAGCCUGAAGAUGAGCUCGCGUCCGAUUAGCUAGUUGGGGGGGUAAAGGCCCACCAAGGCGACGAUCGGUAGCUGGUCUGAGAGGACGAUCAGCCACACUGGGACUGAGACACGGCCCAGACUCCUACGGGAGGCAGCAGUGGGGAAUUUUCCGCAAUGGGCGAAAGCCUGACGGAGCAAGACCGCGUGGGGGAAGAAGGCUCUUGGGUUGUAAACCCCUUUUCUCUGGGAAGAAAGUUGUGAAAGCAACCUGACGGUACCAGAGGAAUCAGCAUCGGCUAACUCCGUGCCAGCCGCCGCGG
rnacentral:rRNA from 1 species